rnacentral:rRNA from 1 species
CGGGACGGGUGAGUAAUGUCUGGGAAACUGCCUGAUGGAGGGGGGUAACUACUGGAAACGGUAGCUAAUACCGCAUAACGUCGCAAGACCAAGGAGGGGGACCUUCGGGCCUCUUGCCAUCGGAUGUGCCCAGAUGGGAUUAGCUAGUAGGUGGGGUAACGGCUCACCUAGGCGACGAUCCCUAGCUGGUCUGAGAGGAUGACUAGCCACACUGGAACUGAGACACGGUCCAG